GGAGAUUUAGUUUAACUGGAAAAAACCAGAGAAUCAUAAUCUCUUAAUAUCGGUUCGACUCCGGUAGUCUCCACCA
rnacentral:tRNA from 1 species